UGAGUAACCUGCCCUUAACUCUGGGAUAAGCCUGGGAAACUGGGUCUAAUACCGGAUAUGACUCCUCAUCGCAUGGUGGGGGGUGGAAAGCUUUAUUGUGGUUUUGGAUGGACUCGCGGCCUAUCAGCUUGUUGGUGAGGUAAUGGCCCACCAAGGCGACGACGGGUAGCCGGCCUGAGAGGGCGACCGGCCACACUGGGACUGAGACACGGCCCAGACUCCUACGGGAGGCAG
rnacentral:rRNA from 1 species